CCUACGGGUGGCAGCAGUGGGGAAUAUUGGACAAUGGGCGAAAGCCUGAUCCAGCCAUGCCGCGUGUGUGAAGAAGGCCUUCGGGUUGUAAAGCACUUUCAGUGGGGAAGAAAGCCUUGGGGCUAAUACCCUCGAGGAAGGACAUCACCCACAGAAGAAGCACCGGCUAACUCCGUGCCAGCAGCCGCGGUAAUACGGAGGGUGCGAGCGUUAAUCGGAAUUACUGGGCGUAAAGCGCGCGUAGGCGGUCUGAUAAGCCGGUUGUGAAAGCCCCGGGCUCAACCUGGGAACGGCAUCCGGAACUGUCAGGCUAGAGUGCAGGAGAGGAAGGUAGAAUUCCCGGUGUAGCGGUGAAAUGCGUAGAGAUCGGGAGGAAUACCAGUGGCGAAGGCGGCCUUCUGGACUGACACUGACGCUGAGGUGCGAAAGCGUGGGUAGCAAACAGGAUUAGAUCCCCUGGUAGUC
rnacentral:rRNA from 1 species